CGAAACGAGGACUGUGGUAUCGAUGCACGCGAGACUUACCUGGUCUUGACAUCCACAGAACUUACCAGAGAUGCUUUGGUGCCUUCGGGAACUGUGAGACAGGUGCUGCAUGGCUGUCGUCAGCUCGUGUUGUGAAAUGUUGGGUUAAGUCCCGCAACGAGCGCAACCCUUAUCCUUUGUUGCCAGCGGUUAGGCCGGGAACUCAAAGGAGACUGCCAGUGAUAAACUGGAGGAAGGUGGGGAUGACGUCAAGUCAUCAUGGCCCUUACGACCAGGGCUACACACGUGCUACAAUGGCAUAUACAAAGAGAAGCGACCUCGCGAGAGCAAGCGGACCUCAUAAAGUAUGUCGUAGUCCGGAUUGGAGUCUGCAACUCGACUCCAUGAAGUCGGAAUCGCUAGUAAUCGUAGAUCAGAAUGCUACGGUGAAUACGUUCCCGGGCCUUGUACACACCGCCCGUCACACCAUGGGAGUGGGUUGCAAAAGAAGUAGGUAGCUUAACCUUCGGGAGGGCGCUUACCACUUUGUGAUUCAUGACUGGGGGUGAAGUCGUAACAAGGGUAGCCCGUAA
rnacentral:rRNA from 1 species